GACGAACGCUGGCGGCGUGCUUAACACAUGCAAGUCGAACGGAAAGGCCGUGCUUGCAGGGUACUCGAGUGGCGAACGGGUGAGUAACACGUGGGUGAUCUGCCCUGCACUUCGGGAUAAGCCUGGGAAACUGGGUCUAAUACCGGAUAGGAGCCAUUUUUAGUGUGAUGGUUGGAAAGUUUUUUCGGUGUAGGAUGAGCUCGCGGCCUAUCAGCUUGUUGGUGGGGUAAUGGCCUACCAAGGCGGCGACGGGUAGCCGGCCUGAGAGGGUGGACGGCCACAUUGGGACUGAGAUACGGCCCAGACUCCUACGGGAGGCAGCAGUGGGGAAUAUUGCACAAUGGGCGCAAGCCUGAUGCAGCGACGCCGCGUGGGGGAUGACGGCCUUCGGGUUGUAAACUCCUUUCGCUAGGGACGAAGCUUUUUGUGACGGUACCUAGAUAAGAAGCACCGGCUAACUACGUG
rnacentral:rRNA from 1 species